rnacentral:rRNA from 1 species
UACGGAGGGUGCAAGCGUUAUCCGGAUUCACUGGGUUUAAAGGGUGCGUAGGCGGUUCUUUAAGUCCGGGGUGAAAGCCCACUGCUCAACAGUGGAACUGCCCUGGAAACUGGAGAACUUGAGUACAGACGAGGGCGGCGGAAUGGAUGGUGUAGCGGUGAAAUGCAUAGAUACCAUCCAGAACCCCGAUUGCGAAGGCAGCUGCCUAGACUGUAACUGACGCUGAGGCACGAAAGCGUGGGGAGCGAACAGG